rnacentral:sRNA from 1 species
CGGAGGCCGUUCCUGGCUUUGUAGCUCGCUCAAGAUGGCGGCGCAGCCACCCCGCGGGAUACGCCUCAGCGCGAUAAUGCUUAUGAUCCUGAUGUGAACGCUAAACAAAUAUGGAUUGACAAAACAGUGAUAAAUGACCAUAUAUGCUUGACAUUCACCGACAAUGGGAAUGGUAUGACUUCUGAUAAAUUACAUAAAAUGCUAAGCUUUGGCUUCAGUGACAAAGUCACCAUGAAUGGUCAUGUCCCAGUUGGAUUAUAUGGGAAUGGCUUCAAGUCGGGUUCUAUGCGUCUGGGUAAAGACGCAAUCGUUUUUACCAAAAAUGGAGAAAGCAUGAGCGUGGGCCUUUUGUCUCAGACCUACUUGGAAGUCAUAAAAGCGGAGCAUGUUGUUGUUCCAAUAGUGGCAUUCAACAAGCACCGACAGAUGAUUAAUUUAGCAGAAUCAAAAGCCAGCCUUGCUGCAAUUCUGGAACAUUCUCUGUUUUCCACGGAACAGAAGUUACUGGCAGAACUUGAUGCUAUUAUAGGCAAGAAGGGGACGAGGAUCAUCAUUUGGAAUCUUAGAAGCUACAAAAAUGCAACAGAGUUCGAUUUUGAAAAGGAUAAAUAUGAUAUCAGAAUUCCCGAGGAUUUAGAUGAGAUAACAGGGAAGAAGGGGUACAAGAAGCAGGAAAGGAUGGACCAGAUUGCCCCUGAGAGUGACUAUUCCCUGAGGGCUUAUUGCAGUAUAUUAUAUCUAAAGCCAAGAAUGCAGAUCAUCCUACGUGGACAGAAAGUGAAGACACAGCUGGUUUCGAAGAGUCUUGCCUACAUCGAACGUGAUGUUUAUCGACCAAAAUUUUUAUCUAAAACAGUGAGAAUUACCUUUGGAUUCAACUGCAGAAAUAAAGAUCAUUAUGGGAUAAUGAUGUAUCACAGAAAUAGACUCAUCAAAGCUUAUGAAAAAGUUGGAUGUCAGUUAAGGGCAAACAACAUGGGUGUUGGAGUGGUUGGAAUUAUAGAGUGUAAUUUCCUUAAGCCAACUCAUAAUAAACAAGAUUUCGACUAUACUAAUGAGUACAGACUUACAAUAACAGCACUAGGAGAAAAGCUGAAUGAUUACUGGAAUGAAAUGAAAGUGAAGAAAAAUACAGAAUAUCCUCUAAAUUUGCCAGUUGAAGAUAUACAGAAGCGUCCUGAUCAGACAUGGGUUCAGUGUGAUGCCUGUCUAAAGUGGCGGAAAUUACCUGAUGGGAUGGAUCAACUUCCUGAAAAAUGGUAUUGCUCCAAUAACCCUGACCCACAGUUCAGAAAUUGUGAGGUUCCAGAAGAACCUGAAGAUGAGGAUUUGGUACAUCCCACUUAUGAAAAAACCUACAAAAAGACCAACAAGGAAAAAUUCAGGAUCAGACAACCGGAAAUGAUCCCUCGGAUUAAUGCUGAACUGUUGUUUCGGCCAACUGCUCUUUCAACUCCAAGCUUUUCUUCUCCUAAGGAAAGUGUUCCAAGAAGACAUCUUUCAGAAGGAACAAAUUCUUAUGCGACAAGACUUCUAAAUAAUCAUCAAGUUUCACCCCAAUCUGAACCUGAGAGCAACAGCUUGAAACGGAGACUUUCUACUCGUUCCUCAAUUUUGAAUGCAAAGAAUCGGAGAUUGAGUAGUCAGUUUGAAAAUUCAGUUUAUAAAGGUGAUGACGAUGAUGAAGAUGUCAUCAUCUUAGAAGAAAACAGUACCCCCAAACCUGCAGUAGAUCAUGAUAUUGACAUGAAAUCAGAACAGAGUCACGUUGAGCAAGGUGGUGUUCAGGUUGAGCUUGUGGGUGACAGUGAACCUUGUGGCCAGACUGGUUCAACAAGCACCUCAUCAUCCCGAUGCGACCAGGGAAAUACUGCAGCUACCCAGACUGAAGUACCAAGUUUAGUUGUUAAAAAAGAAGAAACUGUUGAAGACGAGAUAGACGUAAGAAAUGAUGCAGUGAUUCUGCCCUCCUGUGUAGAAGCUGAAGGAAAGAUACAUGAAACCCAGGAAACCACCGAUAAAUCUGCAGAUGAUGCAGGCUGCCAAUUACAAGAACUGAGAAACCAGCUACUCCUUGUCACUGAGGAAAAAGAGAAUUAUAAAAGACAGUGUCAUAUGUUUACUGAUCAAAUCAAAGUGUUACAACAGAGGAUACUAGAAAUGAAUGACAAGUAUGUUAAGAAAGAAACUUGCCAUCAGUCCACUGAAACCGAUGCUGUAUUUUUACUUGAAAGUAUUAAUGGCAAAUCUGAAAGUCCAGACCAUAUGGUAUCUCAGUAUCAGCAAGCUUUGGAAGAAAUAGAAAGGCUGAAAAAACAAUGUAGUGCUUUGCAACAUGUAAAGGCUGAAUGCAGCCAGUGUUCCAAUAAUGAGAGUAAAAGUGAAAUGGAUGAGAUGGCUGUGCAGCUUGACGAUGUGUUUAGACAACUGGACAAAUGCAGUAUUGAGAGGGACCAGUAUAAAAGUGAGGUUGAAUUGCUGGAAAUGGAAAAGUCACAAAUCCGUUCACAGUGUGAAGAACUCAAAACUGAAGUUGAACAGUUAAAAUCUACAAAUCAACAGACGGCAACAGAUGUUUCAACAUCAAGUAACAUUGAGGAGUCUGUAAAUCAUAUGGAUGGAGAAAGCCUCAAACUCCGAUCUCUUCGAGUUAACGUAGGACAACUGCUGGCUAUGAUUGUGCCUGAUCUUGAUCUUCAGCAAGUGAAUUACGAUGUUGAUGUAGUUGAUGAGAUUUUAGGACAAGUUGUUGAACAAAUGAGUGAAAUCAGUAGUACUUAAAGUAUAUGUUAUGUAAGAUAAGAAAAUAUUUGCUCAAUUCUUUUGGUUGUACAGCUUUCAAAAUAUAAUUAAUUUUGUUUUAUAGAUAUGAUAGGCAACAGACUGAAAACCAUAAUCUUUACUGUAUUCUAUGCAUUCAAAUGUGGUCACAAAUAUUGUGGACACAUUAUCUUAUGUUUUGAAAUACCUGUGAAUUGUUGGCAUUGAGCAGCUGAAGCUAACUCAUGACUCUGUUUUGAAUGUAAAUAUUUGUAAUUAAGCCUGCACAUAUUUUUUUAUUGCCCUAGAGUACUCAAGUGUUUUUCACCAAGAGCUUUUCAGGUUGCCCCUAAGCUUCGUGCAAUUUUUUCUGGUUCCCCAAAGUGUAUUUUUCUCUAAGUCGAGGGCUAUGCCAUAAUACAAAUGGAAAUGUUACCUUUGAUUUUCUUAUAAAGGAGUUUAAAUAGGAUUUUUAAAUAAUGUAGUAACACUCCUGAUACAACUCUGGUUAUAAGUGAAUUGAGCAUUAAUGUUUCUUUUGUAUAAAUUCCUAUCCUGAAAUAUUUUAUUCAUGAAAAUAAGGUAAGCAAAAAUCAACUCCAUUUUGCCAGGAUUUUCUUGUGCUGAGAUUGCCAAUCACGGUUAAACACAAAGUGUUUUUAUAGAACGAAGAAACAGUCUUUAACAGAAAAAAGGUAUUGAAAUAUUAAAUGGCCACCAAGUUUACUUUGAAGCCCAUUUUUGGCUGUUUAGUCAGCAUGAAGUGGGCAUGAUAAUUUUUUAAUAUUUCUUUUUGUGAAAUUUCCUGUACAGCCUUUUGUAGGAUUACUACAGGUUAAUGUGAGUUGAGGAAGACAGUCUUUCUCAAACAAUACUACAUACCUUUUAUUAUAUUACAAACCUAAGUGUUUUAUAUCCUAGAGUCAAGGAACAAAUUUCCUUAGGAUUAUAGUAUUACAUGCCAUAAAAUACUAUGCUUUAUUGGUCCCAUGUUUUGUGCAAUUUUAAAGAGAUGGCUUUCUAUUAAGUAUAAACUAUGUAUAUAUAAGAACCAUAUUUUCCACAACUAAAAUGUGCAUUAUUUUUUCCAAAGUUUUAUCAUUGCUAUUUAUUUUUACCUUUGUUUUUGAACAUUCAAUCCGUUCAUUUUGUAUGUAUGCUUAAUACGUGUCGGUCAUAUACAGUAUUGAAUUUUUACUGUAUAGUAAUUCUGGAAAGAGCAAAUAAAUGAAGAUUGUUUUUAUUUGCCUGAUAAAGUAAUUGAAAGUGUAUUUUUGGUAUGAAGCUGGUUUUCUGUCACAAUUGUAAUUUCCCAAAUUUUAAAAUAUCUUAUAAUAAAAUAAAAAUAUAUGAUGGCUAACUGUUCAAAUGCUA